CCUACGGGUGGCAGCAGUAGGGAAUUUUCGGCAAUGGGGGGAACCCUGACCGAGCAACGCCGCGUGAACGAAGAAGUUAUUCGUAAUGUAAAGUUCUUUUAACAGGGAAGAAAGAGAAAUUGGACGUUACCUGAAGAAUAAGCUCCGGCAAACUACGUGCGAGCAGCCGCGGUAAUCCGUAGGGAGCGAGCGUUAUCCGGAAUUAUUGGGCGAAAGGGGUGCGUAGAUGGCAUGGUAAGUCUGUGGGAAAAAUGCUGGGCUAAACCCAGUAGGGCAAAAGAUACUGCAAGGCUAGAGUAUGACAGAGGCAAGUGGAACUACAGGUGUAGCGGUAAAAUGCGUAAAUAUAUGUAAGAACACCAGUGGCGAAGGCGGCUUGCUGGGUCGAUACUGACGUUGAGGCACGAAAGCGUGGGGAGCAAACAGGAUUAGAUACCCCUGUAGUC
rnacentral:rRNA from 1 species